rnacentral:rRNA from 1 species
UCUGAAUCUGCGAACGGCUCCGCAAACCAGUUGUAAACUAUAGCAAGCAGGCUCGGGGUCGGCUCUCACGGGUUGGCUUCGGGCGAUAUGGAUAACCCUGGUAAUUCUGAGGCUAAUACAUGAACGUAAAACCUGGUUGACUGGGCUUCGGUCUGGGAGGCUGGGGGAUGUGUGAUUGCAGGCUUGGGUAACACCGGGAAAGGGCGCACGUCCAGACCGCGCUAUAAAGGAUGGGACCUCUUCGGGGGACCCGCCCCAGCGGCUCUUGCUGUGUGCUUCUGACCUAUCAACUAGACGGCAGCG